rnacentral:rRNA from 1 species
GACGAACGCUGGCGGCGUGCCUAACACAUGCAAGUCGAACGGAACUGUUUUGAAAGAUUUCUUCGGAAUGAAUUUGAUUUAGUUUAGUGGCGGACGGGUGAGUAACGCGUGAGUAACCUGCCUUCAAGAGGGGAAUAACAUUCUGAAAAGAAUGCUAAUACCGCAUGACAUAUCGGAACCACAUGGUUUUGAUAUCAAAGAUUUUAUCGCUUGAAGAUGGACUCGCGUCCGAUUAGUUAGUUGGUGAGGUAACGGCUCACCAAGACCGCGAUCGGUAGCCGGACUGAGAGGUUGAACGGCCACAUGGGGACUGAGACACGGCCCAGACUCCUACGGGAGGCAGCAGUGGGGGAUAUUGCGCAAUGGGGGCAACCCUGACGCAGCAACGCCGCGUGAAGGAUGAAGGUUUUCGGAUUGUAAACUUCUUUUAUUAAGGACGAAAAAUGACGGUACUUGAUGAAUAAGCUCCGGCUAACUACGUG